AUUGAACGCUGGCGGCAGGCCUAACACAUGCAAGUCGAGCGGUAGCACAGAGAGCUUGCUCUCGGGUGACGAGCGGCGGACGGGUGAGUAAUGUCUGGGAAACUGCCUGAUGGAGGGGGAUAACUACUGGAAACGGUAGCUAAUACCGCAUAAUGUCGCAAGACCAAAGAGGGGGACCUUCGGGCCUCUUGCCAUCAGAUGUGCCCAGAUGGUGUAG
rnacentral:rRNA from 1 species